GCACCUUAUCCAGGCAAUGGAGACUGUACAAUCUCCUCAAUACGGGAAAAAAUGCAGUCAUCAAUAUUUUGAGGGGUGAUAGUAUCAGUCACAGGCAUGUUGUUAUUGAAUGAUCUCAAACGCUUCAACUUCUUAAUCUCGUUCUCGUCAACCGAUUGCAUUACAAAACAAGCAACCGGUUUCAAUUAAUUUGCAAGAGAGCAUGAACCAAACACCCUGCUAAGAAACUCCAAGGAUUAGCUCGGUAACAAAGCUCUCUCCAUCGCCAAAAAUA
rnacentral:misc_RNA from 1 species